CAAGUGCUGCUGUUCAGAUUCUUUUGUCCCACGAGGGUGCUCCUGUGAUGUGGUACUCUCCUGUUUCCCCUAGGGAUGGGAAUUCCUGAGAGCUGAACUGCAGUGAUUAUUAUCUCUUUACAGGAUCUAUCCACCCAGUGUAACUACCGGGCUCUUGGCUUUUACUGGGGAGUGUCUUUAAAGAGUACUGUGAUGUGAUCCAUCUUCAGAUCUCUCAGCUGUGGACACUGGAACCUACUCUUGUGGAGGAAGCAGCUCCUCAUUCUGAACACCAGCAUCAUGCAUCCUUUGCUCUGUUCUAGGCACAACAAUCAAAAGUGCUAAUUCCCAAACUGGACCGGACUUCAGCCAGAAUAUGUCACUGUGAGAUUCCCUAUGCAGAGGCCCAUGUGGCAAGAAACUGAUGUGUCCUUCCAACAACCAGGCCUGAGACCUCACAAGACCCAACUGGGUAAGCCUGGAAGUGGAUCCUCCACUCAUCAAGCCUUGAGAUGAUUUCAAUCAACACCUUGAUUGUAAACUUGGGAGACACUGUGAUUCAAAUUCAGAUGUCACACCUGAAUUCUUAAACUAUAGAAACAAUGAGAU